rnacentral:lncRNA from 1 species
GACUGGGUUGCUAUUCUUGAAGAAGACAAUACGAAUGGUGAGGACAUGUGGAAUUGGAUAUAACAAAUGCAUCAGAGAAUGCAGACCUCUUAGAACAGAAAUCAAAAGGAGUUCUGAAGAAAACAAUUGAUAUGGCUGAGUCAAAAAAAAAAAAUGUAUUUGAAAAAUAAAAAAGCAACCGAAUGUACACUAAAUUAACUGAAUAAGACAAAAUAAUGGAUGCACUUAAUGAUCAAAUUAGAAAUCUUAAAGCUGAGAAAGUAUCCCUGUAAUUAGGGAAAAGCAUUAGAAAGGAAGAUGCAAAAACUCCAGGAGAAACUUUAGCUCCUUUCUGAACUAUAUUAAAGAAUGAAUUUUCAUUAAAUAUCCAAUAAAUAACAAGUUUAACUCAUAAAAACAGAGGCGAAUCUAUCCAAAACUGAUGACAAGAUCAGCUAUCCAUGUAAAGACUGGACAUGUAUAAAAUACAAGCCAAAAUCUGUCUACAAAAACUCUAGUAAAUUACUGUUAUCAAAGCCAGCUAUUUCCCAUGAAAGAAAAGCUCAUGGUGAUACUUUGAGAGCUCUGACAGCUGAGAGAAAUCUCAAUAACCUAAAAAGAGAG